rnacentral:rRNA from 1 species
UACGUAGGGGGCAAGCGUUGUCCGGAAUCAUUGGGCGUAAAGCGCGUGUAGGCGGUCCGGUAAGUCCGCUGUGAAAGUCGGGGGCUCAACCCUCGGAUGCCGGUGGAUACUGUCGGGCUUGAGUACGGAAGAGGCGAGUGGAAUUCCUGGUGUAGCGGUGAAAUGCGCAGAUAUCAGGAGGAACACCAGUGGCGAAGGCGGCGAUCUGGGAAGAUACUGACGCUGAGGUGCGAAAGCGUGGGGAGCAAACAGG